rnacentral:rRNA from 1 species
CGCCGCGUGGAGGAUGAAGGCCUUCGGGUCGUAAACUCCUGUCAUCAUAGAACAAGAUUAUGCGGUUAAUAACCGACGUAAUUUGAUGGUAUAUGGAGAGGAAGGGACGGCUAACUCUGUGCCAGCAGCCGCGGUAAUACAGAGGUCCCAAGCGUUGUUCGGAUUCACUGGGCGUAAAGGGUGCGUAGGAGGUUGGGAAAGUCGGAUGUGAAAUCUCACCGCUUAACGGUGAAACUGCAUUCGAUACUGCUCGACUAGAGGAUCGGAAGGGAAAGCAAAAUUCUUGGUGUAGCGGUGAAAUGCGUAAAUUUCAAGAGGAAUACCAACAGCGUAGGCAGCUUUCGGGAAGAUACCUGACUCUGAGGCACGAAGGCCAGGGGAGCAAACGGGAUUAAAUACCCCGGUAGUCCUGGCAGUAAACGGUGCUCAUUAGGUGUUGGUGGAUUCGACCCCAUCAGUGCCGGACCUAACGGAUUAAAUGAGCCGCCUGGGGAGUACGGUCGCAAGAUUAAAACUCAGAGAAAUUGACGGGGGCCCGCACAAGCGGUGGAGUAUGUGGCUUAAUUCGAUGCAACGCGAAGAACCUUACCUAGGCAUGACAUGCAUUGUUCAUCCAGUGAA